CGGGGGGAGCAAGCGUUGUUCGGAAUCACUGGGCGUAAAGGGAGUCUAGGCGGUUUGGUAAGUGGGAUGUGAAAUCCCCGGGCUCACCCCGGGGCCUGCAUCCCAAACUGCUGAGCUUGAGUACAGGAGAGGGUGGGGGAAUUCCAGGUGUAGCGGUGAAAUGCGUAGAUAUCUGGAGGAACACCGGUGGCGAAGGCGCCCACCUGGCCUGCUACUGACGCUGAAGCUCGAAAGCUAGGGGAGCAAACGGGAUUAGAUACCCCGGUAGUCCUAGCCGUAAACGGUGAUCACUAGGUGUUGGGAGCAUCGACCCUUCCAGUGCCGCAGCUAACGCAUUAAGUGAUCCGCCUGGGGAUACGGCCGCAAGGUUG
rnacentral:rRNA from 1 species